rnacentral:rRNA from 1 species
AAUCAACGCUGGCGGCGUGCCUAACACAUGCAAGUCGAACGCGAAAGCCCCGCAAGGGGUAAGUAGAGUGGCAAACGGGUGAGUAACACGUGGGUGACCUGCCUUCGAGUGGGGGAUAACGUCCCGAAAGGACGCUAAUACCGCAUGACAUCCUGCUUUUUAAGAGGCGGAGAUCAAAGCCGGGGAUCGCAAGACCUGGCGCUUGAAGAGGGGCCCGCGCCUGAUUAGCUAGUUGGUGGGGAACGCUCACCAAGGCAUCGAUCAGUAUCCGGCCUGAGAGGGCGGACGGACACACUGGGACUGAGACACGGCCCAGACUCCUACGGGAGCAGCAGUGGGAAUUGUUCGCAAUGGGCGCAAG